rnacentral:rRNA from 1 species
CCUACGGGCGGCUGCAGUGGGGAAUAUUGGACAAUGGGCGAAAGCCUGAUCCAGCCAUGCCGCGUGUGUGAAGAAGGCCUUCGGGUUGUAAAGCACUUGCAGUGGGGAAGAAAGCCUUGGGGCUAAUACCCUCGAGGAAGGACAUCACCCACAGAAGAAGCACCGGCUAACUCCGUGCCAGCAGCCGCGGUAAUACGGAGGGUGCGAGCGUUAAUCGGAAUUACUGGGCGUAAAGCGCGCGUAGGCGGUCUGAUAAGCCGGUUGUGAAAGCCCCGGGCUCAACCUGGGAACGGCAUCCGGAACUGUCAGGCUAGAGUGCAGGAGAGGAAGGUAGAAUUCCCGGUGUAGCGGUGAAAUGCGUAGAGAUCGGGAGGAAUACCAGUGGCGAAGGCGGCCUUCUGGACUGACACUGACGCUGAGGUGCGAAAGCGUGGGUAGCAAACAGGAUUAGCUACCCUAGUAGUC